UACGGAGGGUGCAAGCGUUAUCCGGAUUCACUGGGUUUAAAGGGUGCGUAGGCGGGCUUGUAAGUCAGUGGUGAAAGCCCGGGGCUCAACUCCGGAACUGCCGUUGAUACUGCAAGCCUUGAGUACAGUUGAGGUGGGCGGAAUACAUCAUGUAGAGGUGAAAUUCUUAGAUAUGAUGUAGAACACCGAUUGCGAAGGCAGCUCACUAAAGUGUAACUGACGCUGAGGCACGAAAGCGUGGGGAUCAAACAGG
rnacentral:misc_RNA from 1 species